rnacentral:tRNA from 1 species
UGGUGGUUCAGUGGUAGAAUUAUUGUCUUCCAGGCGGGAGAUCCAGGUUUGAUUCCUGGCCA